AUCUUUCUAGUAUAAAGUUAGAACAAGUGACUUCCACUCACUUAGUCUUGGUUAAAGUCCAGGGAAAGAUA
rnacentral:tRNA from 1 species